rnacentral:sRNA from 2 species
GUAAUCCAUUCGCUGAGUUCCAAUUUGGGAGCGGAGGAACCAUGUUUUUGGGGUGAGUCGUGCGACGAUGUCGCGCGUAGGGUUUCCUACACCCGAACCCGUCAGCUAACUCCGUAAGCGUCGUAGGUGCAAUAU